UGCUUACCUUUUGUUGUGAUGUUUAUUCUUCAGAAACAGUUGAGAUCCCUUCAACAUCCCUCCAUGCAGAAUUGCAGGAUGCAGACGAAGAUCCUACACCGGGCAGAUCUCCACAACCAGCAGGAUCUCCCCUACCAGCCAGACCGCCGCUACCAGCCGGAUCAACACUACCAGCAGCAGCUGAGAUUUCAGGUAAGGCACAAAGUAAUGCCGCGUUUCCACUGCAGGGUGCGGAACGGAUCGGAUCGCAAAGGUGCGGUAGGGAGGGGGCGGUAUAGCCCAGCUCAGUGCCGAGGUCGCGUUUCCACUGCCGACAGUACCCUUGGUGGUAGGCCGGAUGUCGAUCGCCGCGGCAGCUACGUAAACAUCGUAAACAACGUCUUCCUCCCCAAGAAUGCAGACGAACGUCUCCACCUCCUUGUUCGCCCAAGCAAGCUUUUUACGCGACAUGUUAAUUGUAAAGAAUAAUACCUCAAGGCUACUGUUUGUUUGUUUUUAUCCCCGCGUCACCCGGAAGUGACGAUUCUGUUGACCAAUCAACGGAGGGGGGGUGUAGCUAGAAUUUCACGGGACCCUUUCAGGCGUCUGGUCUCGUUUUGGGUACCGCAACGGAGGAGUCCCGAGAAUGGGGCCGGAACGGGUACGGCAAAGUCCGGGUCACGCCCACUUUUGGCGGUGGAAACGCGACCCGACCCACACCUUUGCGAUCCGAUCCGUUCCGCACCCUGCAGUGGAAACGCAGCACAAGUCUCUUCUAGAGGGACUGUAUUUCAUACACUAAAUGCAAAGAAUAUAUGGCUAAUCUUCACUUUUUUUUUUUACCUUAGAAGUAUCUAGAAGUUCCCAUUCAACAAAAAGAAAAUGGACCCAAAUAGAGGUGGCAGCUAUCGAGGCUAAAAUGGGCCGAUUCAUCAGGGAAGGGAAAACUCCUGGAAAGGAGGAGUGCCAGGAAUGUAUUGCCAGUUCUCCCGAAGCCCUGAAAAGUAGGGAUUGGAGGGCAGUUAAAUUCUUUGUUAGAAAUAGAGUAGUCUCCUUGUCCAGGAAAACUUUUAAGUAAGUUUGUGCUCUUUAAGAUUGACUUUUUCAGGUCAAAACGUUCUUGAAUCGACCUCUGAAGAAUAAGUCCCGCCUCCGAGGCUCCGGUUCCCUCGUCAAAUGUCUGGGAAAUAACUUGGUGUUUUUGAAUGAUCGUACAUAACGAGCUCUGUAGGUGGCGAAGAAGUAAAAGCUGUGUCACGUUUUGAACUACACACUUUUUUCCAUCUAGUUUCGACUGGGUUUUUGGAUUGUCGGUGCCCGGGUGCCGUUAAAGCAGCAUUUCUAAUCAUUUACUACUUUAACGGCACCGACAAUUCAAAAAACCCAGUCGAAGUUAGAUGGAAAAAAGUGUGUGGUUCAAAACGUGACGCAGCUUUCUCUUCUUCUCCACCUACAGAGUUUAUUAUGUACGAUCAUUCAAAAAAACCGGAGCCUCGGAUGCGGGAAUUAUUCAUCAGAGGUCUAUGAGAGUGUAUAUAUAUAUUUUUUUAUGAUGAUAUUAUUUUUGGAUCUGGAUUUCACUUUACAGCCACACAUAUUUACUAAAGCCUGGUUAAUAGGGUAAUAUGCAAUGUGAUAUUUUUUUAUUAUACACAUGUAUGCAUUAUGUCCAUUGCAAUGUUCCAGUGCCCCAUACACUGCAAAACAUUUUUGAAAAUAUUAAAUUAUUAUAUAUAUAAUAUUUUUUUCUUCUAUGAAACCAUCAAACAGAAUCAAAAUGUUUCCCACUUUCCAUCCAGCAUUAUCAUAUGUUUGUAUAUCUGUCCAUCUAGUGAAGUCCACUGCAUCCGAGACGUCGUAUUCCAAUCUUGCGUCUUUUUGUUUUUGGAAAACUUUGAAGUAAGUUUGUGCUCUUUAAGAUUGACUAUUUCAGGUCAAAUAGUUCUUGAAUCGACCUCUGAAGAAUAAGUCCCGCCUCCGAGGCUCCGGUUCCCUCGUCAAAUGUCUGGGAAAUAACUUGGUGUUUUUGAAUGAUCGUACAUAACGAGCUCUGUAGGUGGCGAAGAAGUAAAAGCUGUGUCACGUUUUGAACUACACACUUUUUUCCUUCUAGUUUCGACUGGGUUUUUGGAUUGUCGGUGCCCGGGUGCCGUUAAAGCAGCAUUUCUAAUCAUUUACUACUUUAACGGCACCGACAAUUCAAAAAACCCAGUCGAAGUUAGAUGGAAAAAAGUGUGUGGUUCAAAACGUGACGCAGCUUUUUCUUCUUCUCCACCUACAGAGUUUAUUAUGUACGAUCAUUCAAAAAAACCGGAGCCUCGGAUGCGGGAAUUAUUCAUCAGAGGUCUAUGAGAGUGGGCUGGGUUUGCGUAUGUUGUUUGGUUGUUGCAAAUAAAUGUCAAUAAAGUUGUUUCAAAGGAUAAAGCUUUUAAGCGUUGUGUUAAUUAACAAUACAUCAGAGUAAGACAGAGGUAAAUGUGGAAUAAUAUGACAGAUUUAAUUGGUGCUGAGUUGGUGCACAAUAAUCCUUUCAUUCUGACAGUUGAGAAGUUUGCAUUG
rnacentral:lncRNA from 1 species